GACGGGGGGGCAAGUGUUCUUCGGAAUGACUGGGCGUAAAGGGCACGUAGGCGGUGAAUCGGGUUGAAAGUGAAAGUCGCCAAAAAAGUGGCGGAAUGCUCUCGAAACCAAUUCACUUGAGUGAGACAGAGGAGAGUGGAAUUUCGUGUGUAGGGGGUGAAAUCCGUAGAUCUACGAAGGAACGCCAAAAGCGAAGGCAGCUCUCUGGGUCCCUACCGACGCUGGGGUGCGAAAGCAUGGGGGAGCGAACAGG
rnacentral:rRNA from 1 species